UGAAUUAAUAUGAACAAUUCUCUACGCCUUUAACGUGCUCGAACGGGCUGAGAUGAGUCCUCAAACCAGUUUCCCGACUAUCAUCAGGCUUUUAAAACACACAUGCGACAGUGUAAAGCGCUCGUUGGGCCGUUACCAAGAGAAUUGCGGGCGCUAAUCCUUGGGAGUAGUGGAGGGUGCAGAAGAGACUGCAAUACGCAGACUGCGAGUGGGCAUCACGGGCACCACCUUGCCACACAUCUUCAAAAGAGCGGCAUCCAUCACAAAGGACCCCCGCCAUCCGGGACAUCCUCUCCUCUCAUCGGGGAGGAGGCACAGGAGCCUGAAGACACACACUCAAUAAUUCAGAAACAACUUCCUCCCUUCCGCCAUCAGAAUAGUCUAUAGGACCAAAAAUACAUGAACACCACGAACCCAUGAAUUCUACCUCGCUAUUCUAUUUCGCAGGAUUUGUUUUUCUUACAUUAUAACUUAAUAUUUUUUAUGUCUUGCUGCCACAAAACAACACAUUUCACGAUAUAUGUCGGUGAUAAUAAGCCUGAUUUUGAUGAGUGGAAGCAGGCACCGAGUCGAUACAACAGUGUGAGUGAAGGAAGGUGGGCCAGAGAGAGCGAUAUGGGAUGCUGAUCACAGAGAUCUAGGGUUCACAGGAGUUUACUGGAAUUUCUCUAGAGAUAAUGGAUUCAAGAUGCUAGUUAGACCGGAGAGGCUGGGCAACAGAACAAGCAGGGAAUAGGUCCCGGCCGGUGCGGGGAGGAGACGGAGGCGGCAAAUGCUGGAAUCUGAAUGGGCACACGAUUUGCUGCAGGAACUCAGCGGGUCAGGUAGCAUCUGUGGAGGGAAAAUGGACAGCUGACCAGCUCGGGUCAAGACCCUUCAUCUGGACUCGAUGAAAGGUCUCGAUCUCAAAACGUUGACCGUCCAUUGGUCUCCACUGACCACCUCAUCGCCCGGGCCCGCGCCCAGGAGCUUCUUCAGCAUCUGUAUGUUGUU